AGCUGCCUCGCUCAUAAGUGUUACACACUCCACAAAGGAGCUUUUUAUCUUCAGAUUUUGCAGAGGAGAUGGAUUUACCAACAGCAAAACAAUGGUUCUCAGCAGUGAAGGUUGGGCUUGAGAAUAAUCCUCUGGCAUCAAACGUUGGCUUGGCACUGAUCCUUCUUUGCUUUGAGAAAAUUGUAGAGUUGGAGUUUGUUUGUCCCUGUCAGUCGAAUCUGAAUGCUGCCACUGCGUUAUCAUUUUUCUUAGCGCCAGCAUUUAUCGUCUUUUUGCUCAUGCUUAGUACUGAAAGUCCAUGUAAACUUUCAAUACUAUUAUGUAUGAGAAGUUUCUUUCGUGGUCUAGUUCCUGCUGUAACAUGGUGUAUAAUACUGUUAAUAGAUGGUCGUUAUUAUGCCUGUUUUUGGACCAACUGGUCAGGAAACUAUGAAGUUAGUGAGGCUGGUUCCUCUCUGAAAUGGUGUAAACCAGUUAAUGUAUCUCAUGGAGAGGAGAUCCAGACUCUGAAGUGGUACACCAAGUCUCAGAUCAUUGGACUCUGGGUUGCAUUUGGUCUCACUGUAGUUUUCAAGGGCUAUUUGUUCUGCGUGUCCUGCAGCAGCAAACAUCAAGAAGAAACAGACGAUGUAAAUGCCACUCAAGACAUCGAUCUAGAAGCGCAGAACAGCAGAUGACAGAAAUUCAGAAAAGAAAACAAUCACAGUUGGGGGUGGGAGCUACCAAUUUGAACAGUCAGACAUAAUGCAGAAAAUCUAGAGUAAUGUUAAAAUAUCUUUCAGUUGGAGGCAAACAAUUAUUUA